rnacentral:rRNA from 1 species
GAUGAACGCUGGCGGCGUGCCUAAUACAUGCAAGUCGAGCGAACGGACGAGAAGCUUGCUUCUCUGAUGUUAGCGGCGGACGGGUGAGUAACACGUGGAUAACCUACCUAUAAGACUGGGAUAACUUCGGGAAACCGGAGCUAAUACCGGAUAAUAUUUUGAACCGCAUGGUUCAAAAGUAAAAGACGGUCUUGCUGUCACUUAUAGAUGGAUCCGCGCUGCAUUAGCUAGUUGGUAAGGUAACGGCUUACCAAGGCAACGAUGCAUAGCCGACCUGAGAGGGUGAUCGGCCACACUGGAACUGAGACACGGUCCAGACUCCUACGGGAGGCAGCAGUAGGGAAUCUUCCGCAAUGGGCGAAAGCCUGACGGAGCAACGCCGCGUGAGUGAUGAAGGUCUUCGGAUCGUAAAACUCUGUUAUUAGGGAAGAACAUAUGUGUAAGUAACUUUGCACAUCUUGACGGUACCUAAUCAGAAAGCCACGGCUAACUACGUG